GGGCUUCUGACUUCGCAGCGAGCCAACCCAUGGAAAGCAAGGGUCGGCCAGCUACUACUGAGCCUUUAAAACAGUGAGAAGAGAAGGGAGAGAGAUGUCUCCGGGAAAAAUUCUGAGCUGUCCAGAGUGUGCAGUGCCCUUGUUAAGUGAGCUCAUGGCCAUUCGUGCUCUGCAAGUUCUUGCCACAGACCUGUCCCUUCCACCUCCUAUCCUUAAGGAGUUUCUAAAGCUCUCACAGCUGUGCCAGCACUGUCACUCCUGCAAAGCACGUUUCAUUUGCUGCCCCUGUUUAUCGGCACAACGCGGCCCCUGUCGGGAGCACUCACCACCUCCUUUCUGAGGAGCCGCUGCACUCCUUACGCUGGGAGCCAAGCCCCCAAGGUUCUUUCCACCCCCGCUCUCGCUCCCAACUUUUGCCGAAGAACCCAGUUUAGCAGCUCCAGCCUCAGCCUUUAUUUUCAUGCAAAGUGAAAGAGAUCAGCGCUGGGGACUGGCUGAAGCGUAGAUAAAAGCCCCAGCUGUGAUUUCUCGGGGUGUCAGUUUCACCUCCAGCAGUAAAGCAAACUGUCCUUGUGCCUGAGGGAAAUUACGGAGCCUCACACUUUCAUCCAGAGAGGGACAAAGGGGAGGUCAGGUGCUGCAUCUGACAGAAGUGGGGACGUGUGAAAUGUGAUUAACCCAGGAAGAAGCCAGACAGAGCCCGGCUGGGGCCUCCGCUGCCCCUGUGUGUUUCCCAGGGUCAGGAGCAGGAGGAAAAAGGAGGGAGGCAAUUUUCAAGACAGGCACUGAUGCUUUAAAAGGAUUCUUCACAGGGCAUGAGAGAGCCAUACCUAGAAUGAAUUAUGGAUCCAUCCAGUGUCCCAUGCAUCCUGUACGUCAAGGU